rnacentral:sRNA from 1 species
GGCCUCCCUCCCGGCAACCCCGCCGGUCCUCUCAGAGAGGUCCACCGGGAGAGCGGGGCCCCCCGGGUCCCCCGGGACCGCCGGGAGUGCCUGGAUCCGACGGCAUCGACGGUGACAAUGGGCCCCCUGGAAAAGCUGGCCCUCCGGGACCCAAGGGCGAGCCUGGCAAAGCUGGGCCAGAUGGGCCAGACGGGAAGCCCGGGAUUGAUGGUUUAACUGGAGCCAAGGGGGAGCCUGGCCCCAUGGGGAUCCCUGGAGUCAAGGGCCAGCCCGGGCUUCCUGGUCCUCCUGGCCUUCCGGGCCCUGGUUUUGCUGGACCUCCUGUAAGUCCUCAGGGAUGGGGCAGGAUCCCCAGAACUCCCAGGGAAGGAGGGGACAACAGAAAGGCUUCGAGGGAAUGGCCACCAUGGGGAGGAGCCAGCUUGCUGUGAUAGUGUCAGGAAUAAGUGGACCUGCCAGAGACCCAGGGCAAGCCCACUCUGGGCCUGUCCACUGGCUCUGCAAUUCUCUGGUCCUUAAAGCCUCAGUCUGUCAGUCUCUCUGGGGUUGGCAAAAAAAAAAAGUAAAAGUGGAGAAACGGGCUUUGGGUGCCUGUCUCUACCUUCAUGCCCAGGGUAUCUGACCCUCUGAGGCAUCCUGACCAUCAACUCUCUGCUCCCCAGGGGCCGCCUGGACCUGUUGGCCUCCCUGGUGAGAUUGGAAUCCGAGGCCCCAAGGGGGACCCUGGACCAGAUGGACCAUCAGGGCCCCCAGGACCCCCUGGGAAACCUGGUCGCCCGGGAACCAUCCAGGGUCUGGAAGGCAGUGCGGAUUUCCUGUGUCCAACCAACUGUCCACCCGGAAUGAAAGGUCCCCCAGGGCUGCAGGGAGUGAAGGGGCAUGCGGGCAAACGCGGGGUUCUGGGUGAUCCUGGGCGCCAGGGGAAGCCGGGUCCCAAGGGAGAUGUGGGUGCCUCUGGAGAGCAAGGCAUCCCUGGACCACCGGGUCCCCAGGGCAUCAGGGGCUACCCGGGCAUGGCAGGGCCCAAGGGAGAGACGGGCCCUCAUGGAUAUAAAGGCAUGGUGGGCGCUAUCGGUGCCACUGGGCCACCGGGUGAGGAAGGUCCUAGGGGACCGCCAGGCCGAGCUGGGGAGAAGGGUGACGUGGGCAGCCCAGGUAUUCGUGGACCCCAGGGGAUCACAGGCCCGAAAGGAGCAACGGGCCCCCCAGGCAUCAACGGCAAGGAUGGGACCCCAGGCAUGCCUGGCAUGAAGGGCAGUGCAGGACAGGCGGGACGGCCCGGAAGUCCAGGCCACCAGGGCCUAGCGGGUGUGCCAGGCCAGCCUGGGACAAAAGGAGGCCCUGGAGACCAGGGUGAGCCGGGCCCGCAGGGCCUUCCUGGAUUCUCUGGUCCCCCUGGGAAAGAGGGAGAGCCAGGGCCUCGAGGAGAAAUUGGUCCCCAGGGCAUCAUGGGACAGAAGGGUGACCAAGGCGAGAGGGGUCCAGUGGGGCAACCAGGCCCUCAGGGAAGGCAGGGCCCUAAGGGGGAGCAGGGCCCCCCUGGAAUUCCAGGGCCCCAAGGCUUGCCAGGCGUCAAAGGAGACAAGGGCUCCCCAGGGAAGACCGGGCCCCGCGGCAGAGUGGGUGACCCAGGGGUGGCCGGCCUCCCCGGAGAGAAAGGCGAGAAGGGCGAGUCCGGCGAGCCGGGGCCCAAGGGACAGCAAGGAGUACGUGGAGAACCCGGCUACCCUGGCCCCAGCGGGGAUGCGGGCGCCCCAGGGAUUCAGGGCUACCCUGGUCCCCCCGGCCCUCGAGGACUGGCCGGGAACCGAGGCGUGCCAGGACAGCCCGGGAGACAGGGUGUGGAGGGCCGGGAUGCCACUGACCAGCACAUCGUGGAUGUGGCGCUGAAGAUGCUGCAAGAGCAACUGGCAGAGGUCGCCGUGAGUGCCAAGCGGGAAGCCCUGGGUGCGGUGGGCAUGAUGGGUCCUCCAGGACCUCCUGGGCCCCCUGGGUACCCAGGCAAGCAGGGCCCCCAUGGGCACCCUGGCCCUCGGGGCGUUCCUGGCAUCGUGGGAGCCGUGGGUCAGAUCGGCAACACGGGGCCCAAGGGAAAACGUGGAGAGAAGGGUGAUCCAGGAGAAGUGGGACGGGGGCACCCCGGGAUGCCUGGGCCCCCAGGGAUCCCAGGACUCCCUGGCCGGCCUGGCCAGGCAAUCAACGGCAAGGAUGGAGAUCGAGGGUCCCCAGGGGCUCCAGGAGAGGCAGGUCGACCUGGCCUGCCAGGCCCUGUGGGGCUGCCGGGCUUCUGUGAACCUGCAGCCUGCCUUGGAGCUUCGGCCUAUGCCUCUGCCCGCCUUACAGAGCCUGGAUCCAUCAAGGGGCCUUGAGCAUCAGGCCCAGACAGAGCCUGGCAGGCAUCCUGGUGGGAAGGACCAGGUCCCCUCUGGGUGGACAUGCACCCAUCCCCCACCCAGGAAACCAUCUCCCCCAGGACCUUCUGUCUGGGACCCAGGAGUCCUGAGGAAAAGGAAUUCUAAAACAUGGGGGAAGGGGAGGUAGAGCACUGAUGGGUGAAAAAGUGAGGCCAACACACAGGGCAAGUGGUGUCGAUGGAGUCAAAGCGCUGAAGGAAUAGGGCGGCUUUCCUUCCAGCGAGCAUCAUUCAGCUGUUACCAAAACAAACAUCUUAAUCUGCACCAUUCUCCACUGGCCAUCUUGUCCUUGGGUCAGUGGGACAUGGGCACCCCGGAAGGCCUGGGCCCUGCCCAGCUACAGUUCCACCCCUCAGCUUGAGGACCAAUGACUGAGGUCUCUGCCAGUUCCUGAUCCCAUCUCACUCUCUGGACCUACCAGGUGACUGCUGCUGGGUGACUACCCUGAGGCGGCUAUACCCUUAAGCCA